AGCAGUUGGCCUGCAAUUGUUUUUGUUUAUCCUCGAGUUUUAUCAUGUGACGUUGUGUAAUUAUGAUUUUUUAUAUUUUUAUCGGGCUUUGCUACUCUUUGUUAUCAGGUUCAGGUGAAAAUAGUGAAAAUAGUGAGAAUGAAAUUGGUAAAGGCGAAA